rnacentral:rRNA from 1 species
GACAGAGGGUGCAAACGUUGUUCGGAUUUACUGGGCGUAAAGCGCGUGUAGGCGGCUUGGCAAGUCGGAUGUGAAAGCCCACGGCUCAACCGUGGAAGCGCAUCCGAAACUGCUUCGCUCGAGUCUCGGAGAGGAAGGUGGAAUGCUUGGUGUAGAGGUGGAAUGCGUAGAGAUCCGGAGGAACACCAGUGGCGAAGGCGACACGCUGGGCCGUACCUGACACUGAUGCGCGACAGCAUGGGGAGCAAACAGG